GGUUUAGUGAUAGUUUAAUAAUCGUUGAGUUCACAUCUAAUGUCGGAAAUCGCAGUUCCCAGUUCCGCAUCUGUCUUUUGAUAAACUUUAUUGAGGUUGUUUGAAAUUAAUAUCCAUCUAGCUCUAUAUGUAAGCGUGUGGCUGCGUUGCAUUCAAUUCAAACAUUUCAGUGCUCAGUGCCCGACAACAACACAUAUUGUAUAUUUAACACCACCUACACCCAAUACAAACACAAGUUAACGAGUGAAUUCGUGAAUUCAAAAACUCUCCGGUGUUUCAAGAAAUUUUUUGAUGAAAUAACGCACGAAAAUUACACAAAAUUGAAAAAUGCCGCUGAAUAAGCUUAAAAAAAAUAUGAAAAUGUUGUUGUGAAAUAUUAUUCAUCGGCUGAAAGUGAAUCAACAAGAAUAUUGAAUAAUAGUGUAUUUAGUUCUAAGAAAAAAUAAAUAAAUAUACCCAACAAGGUGAAUCAUGAAAUAGCGCCUAUGGCAUACGAAAUCGUUUUUGAAUAUCACAAGUGAAUUUCGAAUUUGAAAAAAAAUCGACAUACAGUGGAACAGCAUUAACAUUUUACUUGCUAUACAUAUGUAUGUGUGUAUGUGCUAGUGUAUAUAACACAAUACGCUUUGCGAGAGUAAAGAGAAUAAAUAUGCAAAAAGUGUUUCUAACGCGACAAAAUGCAGCACGAAGAAUGUGAAAACAAGUGGAAAAGCAUUGUGAAAAGAAUUUAAGAGAAAUCAAAACGCAUUAAAAAAUAUAAAAACGGAGUUUCGUCAAUAUUCAAUAACAACAAAUAGUGAUAUAAAAAGCAAACAAUUUCGUUAUAGACGCAACAACAACAACAGUAGAACAAGUGACAAUGUGGCUUGCGAAUCAUACUCAUCGACAGCAUUUCAUGCGAAAACCACAACAACAACACGGACACACGGCCAAAGCUAAAGGCAGCGCAGUGCCCGCCAGGCAGUUUGUCAGCAGUUAAGGCAGCAACAACACAAAUAAGCGAACUGCUUUCGAGAGUGUAUUAAAAAAUAGUAAAAAUAAUAACAACAAACCAAACAUAGUUUAUGCCGGCAAUUCGAAAAAAUUUUCCAAACUAAAACGCAGCUUGAACUAUUGUGCUGAGAAGGCAAUUAAACAACUAAAAUUAAAAAACUAAAAAAAAAAAACAAUUAAAAAGUUGAAGAAGUAAAUUAUAAGACGGGCGCGUUUAAAAUUGAACAAAUUUAAACAAAAAAAGUCGAUUGUCGCUGGCACAAAGUGAAAUUCGGUGUAUUCUGUGCGUCGCUGUAGAGUUGGUACUAACUCUCCUACGGGCGGACGCCAUGUAUGCGCGAGUAUUGCGCAAAUGGAGUCUACAAACGAAACCGCAAGUAUCUAUGAACAUGUGGCGGCUGCUGCUGCUCACCCUGCUGCUGAUCUGUCUGUACACAACGCCGGUCACAUGCCUUACAACCGCCUACGCCCAACGCCUGCGUGUGAAUCGGAGCACAGCGCCUGCCACCGCGCCACUGAUUGCCACCGCGUUUGCGACUGCCAAUGCGGCGGCAACACUAACGGCACCGCUACCAACAACAGCAGCAGCAGCAGAAGCACCAGCGGCACCAGCAGUGGCGAGUGCAAGCACACGCGAAAUCGUAUCAGCAACACAGCCGCUCACGCCUUCAGCAGCAAAAGCAGAAGCCGCCACUGUUGGCGACAUCAUCGAAGAAAGUUUCUACAUACCGGUCGAUGGCGCCGACGCAGAUAGCAACAUCUAUGGCGGCAGCAGCAAUCGUCUAGCGCAAGCGCUAGGCGUUCAUGGUGCAGCGGGCGCAACGGCAGGUGUAGAUUUAGUGGGGCACAGUGGCAGCAACGACGGGGCGGUCAGCGGCAGCAGCAGCAGCAGUAGGAUAUUUAGCAGUAGUAGUGUAAUGAACAGCGAUAACAGUGGGCGACAGCAACAACAACAAAUGAAACAAGCGCAGCUACAUAAACAAACCGUUGGUUUGGACGCAACCGAAGCAAAUGCAAACGAUUUGGCCUACGCGUUUUAUCGACGCCCAGCGCCACAAGCAUUCUACCAAUCGGCAAACGCUUUACAAGCAGCCACAAAGCCAUCAGCAGCAGUGAUGGCGACACAGGCGCCAACAACAGUAUUUAGACCGCAGUUUAGCGCCCACUAUGUGGCGAACGAUGAACGCGUUGCCAACGAUGGUGAUGAGGAGGAGGAUGACCAUGAGGAGGAGGAAGAGGAGAGUGAGGAGGAGGAAGCUGAGGAUGUAGAUGCUGAUGUCGAUGGCGACGCCGAUGCCGAUGUGUAUGCGCAUGCAUCGGACGAGGGCGGUGACGACGACUAUGGUCGUCAGCAACAAGAAAAAGUUCCAAAUAAUAAAAAUAGUCACAUAAUUAAUUUAUUUAAACCAUAUAAACAUAGCAACAUUAACAACAUUAACAACUACAAUACCAAUUACAAUCACAACACCAACUCAAAUUUACAUAAAACACAUCCACAGCAACUGCAACAACACACGCGCGGCAGCGCGUCAACUGCGCAACCAUCACACAUAGCAAGCGCCAUUAGCGGCCGCAGCGACACACUAACAUACGCGGCGGGCAAGCGCAGCUACAAGGCGCGACGACAUGUGCCGCUUACAAAUACACAACAACCACAACAACAGCAUGCAUUGCGUUUGCAUGCCGCGCAUGCGCCAAAGAACGCACAACACGCGCUCACCAGCACACCGCUGCCCAUCGCCGCGUACCCCACCAAGAAAGUGUACCAGCUGGUGAACGGCAAGAAUUUGACGCGCCUUGUGCAUAUCCUGCCGCCCACACAUUACCGCUUUACCGCUUAUGAAAUACCCGCGUCACUGCCUUACCGCGGUGAGUUGACGGAGCAGCAACGACGCGCGCUGCAGCAACAGCACGAGCUGCAAUUGCAGCAAGAUCAAACGGCGCGCUCACGCCGCGACUCGCGCGUCUUUGGUUUGGCGCAGCCCAUGAGCAGUGGCAUUAACGCUGGCUUCUACAGCAUGCAACAGGCGCCAGAGCUCACAUUGGCGCAGCAAUUGAACGCACAACAACAACACCAAUACCAACGCUUGCAACAAAGCAGCAGCGCCGGCGGCAACAGUUGGCAGCAAAUGAGCGGCAACAUGUACCAACGCCAAACGCUGGAGCCGUAUCGCCAGCAACAACAGCAUAAUCACCAUAAACACCAACACAAUAAGGGCGCGCUAAGCGGUAUGGGCGCCAACAAUAACAAUCAUCAACGUAAUACGCACAGCGGCCAUCAUGGCAACAAUAAACAUAAUCAGCGUCAACGUCAACGCAAGCGACCGCGACGCUAUUGUUCGGCGCGCGAUCCGGCACAGUUGGCGUUCGAGGCGCCCAUCGUGUUCGAGGGUAAAAUCACAUCGAUGUCACCGGACCGCCGACACAACUUUGCCGCCACAGUGCAAGUGCUGAACGCAUACAAACAGCAGAUUGGUUAUCAGGUGAAACGUGAGCAAUUCGUGCGGCUGCAGUUCGAAUAUAUCAAUAGCAGCGGCGAGUGCGACAUCUAUCGUGAGCAGCUGCGACCGCGCGGCCUAGUGCGCGGCGACGAGCUGGAGCUGCAGCGCACCUAUCUAUUCUUCGUGCAACAGAUCGAUAUGCGCAACUUCACCAUACUCGGCCAGCCGAUCAGGAAGACGCGGCGCGUCAUCGAAGCAGUGAAGGAUGCCGUGAGCGAAAAUUAUGCACAGCUCGCAUCGAUACGAAAUAUAACCACCAAUCGGACGAUGGAAAUCGGUAAAGAGUUGCACAUUGUUUGCAAGGUGCAGGGCCGGCCACCGCCUAAGGUCACCUGGUUCAAGGAUGGCAAAUCGAUUAAUCGCAAUCGGAAAUUAUACAAAUUUCGGCACUUCAAAAUGCGCUCCGAGCUGAUCAUUCGUUCGUUUAACAUCUCCGAUACGGGGCAUUACGAAUGCCGUGCCAAAAAUAAAAUCAAUCAGGAGCCAGCUCGACGCAUCAUAGCAAUCAAAGCGGAUCCAGAGACACGUUCUACAACAAAUCUAGCAGGCGGCACUGGAAAGGUCUGUUCCGAUGAUGCCGCUGAAUUCUGUAUGAAUGGCGGCACCUGUCAUUUCUAUACGGAAAUCAACUCAUUCUCUUGCAUAUGCCCGGAGGGAUUCAUUGGUGAACGCUGCGACCGCAAGGAAGUCAAUAAUUUAUCUCCCAACUAGAAUACCCCUUAAAGCGACUAUAUAGCUGACCUCUCAACUUUUCAAGGCUGUUUCUGCAAAUCAGUUACUCGGAUCAACUUGCGCAUUUUAGACAAUAUGCUAGAGAUGUUAUGGCAUUAAAUAGGACAAGAAAAACAGUCGAUUUUUUGAAGCGCUGAAGCCCAUAUUUUUUGUUGCAAUCUACGGCCAAAUACCUACCACAAUUAAUUGUAUGAUUUCUGUUGCGUUUUUUUUUUUUCGUUUUUGUUGUUAUACCUUGUUAAGAUUAACGAGUUUUAGCGAUUUCUGUUUAAUUAUAAAGCAAAAUAUUUUGUUUAUUUAAUAACUGCGCUGAAAAAAAUUGUGAAAACGUACAGUAGAAGCCAAUAAUAUUGAACUGAAAAUCGACUGCCAGCGCGACGAUUUGUGACGAGUCGCGAUAAGCGUUCUAUUGCAUAUAUAAAUAUGUAAAUAAAUAGAUGUAGGUCUGAGCAAUAAACUAGAGCAGUGGGUUGAGCCUAGUCAGUUGUGCCGUUGAGAUGAUGUUUACCGCUAUUUUUUCCAACAUAACCAAAACUAUACAUUUGAACGAAACACGCAUAGGUGUGUAAAUACAAUAUAUAGUAUAAACAUGCAUAUAAAAAAAAAAAAUUAUGAAAGAAAAAAAUUAUAUAAAAAAAUUUUAUAAAAAAAAAAUUAUAUAAAAAAAAUUUAUAAAAAAAAAGUUAUAUUAAAAAAAAAUACACAUAAAAAAAUAUUUCGCAUACAUACAUGGUACAACAAGCACGUUAAUGCCGACAGAACUGCGCGCAUCAAACUGAUAACUAAAAACUCCACGUAACCGAACGAUACUUGCGAGCACAAAAUUCAACAAAAACGCAAAAAAUUGCAAUUUUGAAAUAUUGUUUGAGCUUUUUUUCGAAACAUUUGCGCUCACAGUGUAAUGCUGAGCGCCUCGGUUUUGCAGCGUCGUUGCAACCCGCCGACUUAGACAACAGUAUUUAAUCUAAAGGAUUUCUAAACUAAAAGUUUCCUUCCUACUUUUUAAAUAAAUAAAUUUAUGUUAAAUAUUAUUUCAUUUUACUUUUGCUUAAGGCGUUAAAUUUAUUACUGUGUUUUUGUUUUAAUCACGAACAAAGCGCACAUUUUGCAUAUAUUUUCGAAAAUAUAUUAUGUAUGCAGUAAAUACAACUAUUGUAAUAAAAGUGUAAAUAUAAAGUAUAAUUUUUUUUAUUUUUAAUUUUUGUCCUAUGUUUAAGAAACAAUCGACUCACACGCGAAUAUUUAGAGCAUAUUUAAAGCAAAUAAUUAUAUUUACUAAUCAAGCACAAAAGAAUUUAUUUAACAACAAAAUUUUGAAAAUUAAAUGUACGCUCCUCGUUGCUGUUGAAAACAAAUGAGCGAGAGAGAGAGAGUCAAUAUUGAACUGAGAAUGAGUAUGAGAGCAGGUUUGCACUUG